rnacentral:lncRNA from 1 species
GAUUGAACAUGUACACUGAUCUCUUAUUGCCAGCUGAAAAUUGUUUAGAGUCAUAAGGAGGUCCCAGAAGACACUUUUCCCUCUCCUACCUUGUGGCGGCAGCUUUCCACCUCUUCCAUACAGUUCAGGUGGAGAUUUUCUCUGUGGCUUGCUGUAUAUGGACACGGAUGCUCUGGGAACGUGAAAGACACAAGGUUUUGCUUUUCACCUUUGGGUGAAGGCUGCUUUGCUGUUCAGUUUUCUUGGCUUGCCCAUAACUCAAACCAAUCUAAAGUAAAAUACAUACUGAAUUUAUUUUCUCCUCAACUGACCAGAAAUCAUCAAGAAGCAAGUUUGACUAUGGAAAGGCGUGAUGCUCCCUUUCUCAGUCUCCCUGGGCAAAAAGACAAGCUUUGCAAGAUUGAGUGAAGAGCCUCUACACUGUUCCACAUGCAUCCAAAAGCAAGUUCAGGCUUCAGAGGAAUCUGCAGAAGAUAUAAUUAUGCUACUGCAUUUUAGAAAGGUAAAGCUACGCAAAGCAGCAUAUUCACACACCUUGUCUGAAGCAACUAAUUUUGUUCAGAGCACUCUGGAGAUGCCAGCAGCCAUGCAGGAAGCUUAUCUUCAUACACAGGUGCCAGUCUCCAAGCUGCUAGGUCCUUCUGCUCUGUCCCAGCUCCUUGUGCCACAGAGGUUCUGCAGGCAUGCUCAGAGCACCAAGUGGCAUUCAGAUCACCCUGAGAUGCUGGAGAAGUGCAGGGACACACCAAAGACACCACUCAACGAGAAAUGUGUGAGACCAUUGGAAAGUCUUCUUUCUGAGCCUCAGUAAGCACACACAGCAGAAACCAGGAAAAAAAGAAUUACUUGAUCUUAAAUCGCUACUGCUGACAAAUUCGGGAAUAUGUAAGUAAGAGCUAAGUGGGAAAUUUACUGUUACUCUGCAGACUUCUGACUUCCCUUAUCUCUCCCAGCCCUAAAAAUACAUUGUGGAGAGGGAUUGGAUGAUAUCCAAGCCAUGACUGUUCUUAAAAAGUACAUAUUGGUUUGGCGAGGGAGGG